UAUCCAUGGAGCAAAUUUACCCAUAAAUUUGGGGCUGGCAGUGUUGGAGAGGCAGGGCUUAUCAUGCAUGAGUCACCACCCGGAAGCAGCCAACACGGAAGUAGCAUCUGGAGAGAGAAGCUGGGGCUGGGGCUGUUGGCCUUUGCAUCAAGUGAAGUGGUGUGCAUUCAUGACUAUUUCUUUAGGUUGAUCCCUGAUUGGUCUGGACCGGACCAACACGAAGACGGUUACUUCCUCGAACCACGCAAUUGACUACUAGUUGGGAGCAAUCUGGACAAUGGCGAGACUGUCCCAGGGAUGGGAUUCCGAGCUAAGUGACAGGUGAAGGAUGCCCUUCCUACACCAAAUGCAGACGCAUUGCCUAAUGAAUGGAUUGUGGUGAAAGACUUCAGGAGAAAGAACUGGAAGGCCAAGCAUUGGCAGGGACAGUUCCAGAUUCUGCUGACUACACCCACCCCUGCGAAAAGAGCGGUGAGAGUAACGUGGAUCCAUACCAGCCACUGCAACUAGGUACCAGUACUAAGCCAGGAGUAAAAGAACAUAUCAGCAGACACACCCAUGGAAGAAGGGCAAGGAUCUGCUUUAACAAAUUCAUAGUGAACUUUUCAGAAGCAGACCUAGAAUUAUUGAGAAGCAGCUAGGAAAAUGUCCUGAUUAGGGUUAACUUAUUGUGGCUAACAAUAAGAGGUUACCUGCACUCAUGAAACAGCCUAUACUGGUAGUGUUCCCAAGCCUCGGUGAGGUGGGACGAGUGCGAAAUGGCAGUGCCUGCACUCUGAGCACCAAUAUACGUCAAGAAGGGUGAAGGUUCACUUAAAGUUUGGUGCUGUCUACAUGAAUCACUGAGUGACAUCCUGAAUUGUUCUUCUUCUCUUCCUAUCCUUUCCUAUGCUUAAACCAGAGUGGCCCUAUCUCUCAAAGAAAAAAAACAGCAGUAUAUCCAGUGUCUAAAUUUUAGUUAAUGACGAUGUCAUUGAAAAGACCAACGGAAAAUGUCUGUUUCGUCUCAUACUGUCUAUUGAAUGCCUAAAGUAAUGAUUAUGUUAAAAUUUCAUUUAUAUUGUAUGUUCUAAAGGACAAAAUGGAGGGAAAUGUAUUGGAAAUUUUAAAUAUUAUGAGUGUUUACAUGUGCUUUCAUAGUAAAUUGUGUGUCAGACUAGGGAGAGAGAACAGGACACCCUUGUUCCUGCCAGAAACAUUGUACGUGCAAAAAGAAUGGGAACUUCUUCAGUGACCUUUGAGGUCACAAACACAGAUGCACGCACAUACUAACACAAACAUACCGGCCACACACGCACACAACUGGGGUACAAAAGGGGAGAGCUAAAACACUAGAAUUUGCCUUGUCACUGUGUAGAUCUGGCACUACACUGUAUGGAAGACACCUUUUGCUGCAGCAAAAUAAAAUUCUGUCUUUGCUUUUACCACCACCUCUGAGUUUAAGUCAGUUUUUUUACAUGUAGAUCAAAACUG